rnacentral:rRNA from 1 species
UGGGGAAUUUUGGACAAUGGGCGCAAGCCUGAUCCAGCAAUGCCGCGUGCAGGAUGAAGGCCUUCGGGUUGUAAACCGCUUUUGUCAGGGAAGAAACGAGUUUCUCUAAUACAGAGACUUAAUGACGGUACCUGAAGAAUAAGCACCGGCUAACUACGUGCCAGCAGCCGCGGUAAUACAGAGGGUGCAAGCGUUAAUCGGAAUUACUGGGCGUAAAGCGCGCGUAGGUGGUUUGUUAAGUUGGAUGUGAAAGCCCCGGGCUCAACCUGGGAACUGCAUCCAAAACUGGCAAGCUAGAGUAUGGUAGAGGGUGGUGGAAUUUCCUGUGUAGCGGUGAAAUGCGUAGAUAUGCGGAGGAACAUCGAUGGCGAAGGCAAUCCCCUGGGCCUGUACUGACGCUCAUGCACGAAAGCGUGGGGAGCAAACA